UUUUUUUUAGAGUUUGAUCCUGGCUCAGAUUGAACGCUGGCGGCAGGCUUAACACAUGCAAGUCGAGCGGGGAAAAGUAGCUUGCUACUUAACNUAGCGGCGGACGGGUGAGUAAUACUUAGGAAUCUGCCUAUUAGUGGGGGACAACAUUUCGAAAGGAAUGCUAAUACCGCAUACGUCCUACGGGAGAAAGCAGGGGAUCACUUGUGACCUUGCGCUAAUAGAUGAGCCUAAGUCGGAUUAGCUAGUUGGUGGGGUAAAGGCCUACCAAGGCGACGAUCUGUAGCGGGUCUGAGAGGAUGAUCCGCCACACUGGGACUGAGACACGGCCCAGACUCCUACGGGAGGCAGCAGUGGGGAAUAUUGGACAAUGGGGGGAACCCUGAUCCAGCCAUGCCGCGUGUGUGAAGAAGGCCUUUUGGUUGUAAAGCACUUUAAGCGAGGAGGAGGCUACUCUAGUUAAUACCUAGGGAUAGUGGACGUUACUCGCAGAAUAAGCACCGGCUAACUCUGUGCCAGCAGCCGCGGUAAUACAGAGGGUGCGAGCGUUAAUCGGAUUUACUGGGCGUAAANCGUGCGUAGGUGGCCAAUUAAGUCAAAUGUGAAAUCCCCGNGCUUAACUUGGGAAUUGCAUUCGAUACUGGUGGCUAGAGUANNNNNNNNNC
rnacentral:rRNA from 1 species